AGUUUAUGUGCUUCUGCACCGCCCCUCGAUUAAACUUUACAAAAUAUGACUUCUAUUAAACCAGAAAAUAGCCAUGGAAGAAUAUUCAACUUUUACAAACAAGCAAAGAAAAAAAUUGAUGUAAAGAUUUGCAUUAACCCUGGGCUAAGUUAACCAGCCAUUGUUUAAACAAGUGGCCCCUAGCUGCAUUCCAACUGGAAGUAGUGACAAGAAUUAAUUUUUCCCAUGAACGCCUGCGAGAAAUGAUUUUUCCACGAGGGUUCCUCCUUUUCGCCUUGGCUUCGUUUAGUGGACGAAAGGUUGAUUAAAAGUUGAAAUAUUUUAAAGCUACAUUAAGGAAGUUAGAAAGCUGCUGAACGUGCCGAAGUUCUUGUCAAUUGUUGCGGAAACAUGGUUUACAAAUCGAAAUUCGUAUCUGCUCUUUUGCCUCUUCUUGUUGUGUUUGGGUCAUUCAUUCUAAGUAGUUCAACCGUUGAUGCAUCAGUUUCCGUCAGCGCUAGUGCAGAACCAACAUCUAAUUAUACAGCAACUCCAGGAUCGUCUGCUUCAAGUGUCCUCCCGUUGAUCAUUCUCGUUCAAAUGUUGUCCCUUAUUUUACCUGCUGUACUGUAUUAUAUGCGCUGAAAAUAAGACGUCAUUUAUGUCAAGAAAGAUGCCAAGAGAUUUUCAGUUGAAAGGCAACACGAACUUUAUUCCUUUUAUGAGUUUUAACUUUUGAUACGUUUUAAAGUUAGCGAAGAGUUCAAAAAAUUCAACGCAGUUUUGAAAGUAGAUUAUACUAGAAGUUCUUUUAGGCU